rnacentral:rRNA from 1 species
GACGAACGCUGGCGGCGUGCCUAAUACAUGCAAGUCGAGCGAAGUUUUUCUGGUGCUUGCACUAGAAAAACUUAGCGGCGAACGGGUGAGUAACACGUAAAGAACCUGCCUCAUAGACUGGGACAACUAUUGGAAACGAUAGCUAAUACCGGAUAACAGCAUUAACUGCAUGGUUGAUGUUUAAAAGUUGGUUAUGCUAACACUAUGAGAUGGCUUUGCGGUGCAUUAGCUAGUUGGUGGGGUAAAGGCCCACCAAGGCGACGAUGCAUAGCCGACCUGAGAGGGUGAUCGGCCACACUGGGACUGAGACACGGCCCAGACUCCUACGGGAGGCAGCAGUAGGGAAUCUUCCGCAAUGGGCGAAAGCCUGACGGAGCAACGCCGCGUGAGUGAAGAAGGAUUUCGGUUCGUAAAGCUCUGUUGUUAGGGAAGAAUGGAUAUGUAGUAACUAUACAUGUAAGAGACGGUACCUAACCAGAAAGCCACGGCUAACUACGUGCCAGCAGCCGCGGUAAUACGUAGGUGGCAAGCGUUGUCCGGAAUUAUUGGGCGUAAAGCGCGCGCAGGUGGUUUAAUAAGUCUGAUGUGAAAGCCCACGGCUCAACCGUGGAGGGUCAUUGGAAACUGUUAAACUUGAGUGCAGGAGAGAAAAGUGGAAUUCCUAGUGUAGCGGUGAAAUGCGUAGAGAUUAGGAGGAACACCAGUGGCGA